rnacentral:rRNA from 1 species
UGCUAAUACCGAAUAAGUUCCAAGAGCCGCAUGGCCCAUGGAAGAAAAGGUGGCCUCUACCUGUAAGCUAUCGCCUGAAGAGGGGUUUGCGUCUGAUUAGCUGGUUGGAGGGGUAACGGCCCACCAAGGCGACGAUCAGUAGCCGGUCUGAGAGGAUGAACGGCCACACUGGAACUGAGACACGGUCCAGACUCCUACGGGAGGCAGCAGUGGGGAAUCUUCCGCAAUGGGCGAAAGCCUGACGGAGCAACGCCGCGUGAGUGAUGAUGGCCUUCGGGUUGUAAAACUCUGUGAUCCGGGACGAAAAGGCAGAGUGCGAAGAACAAACUGCAUUGACGGUACCGGAAAAGCAAGCCACGGCUAAUUACGUGCCAGCAGCCGCGGUAAUACGUAGGUGGCAAGCGUUGUCCGGAAUUAUUGGGCGUAAAGCGCGCGCAGGCGGCUUCCCAAGUCCCUCUUAAAAGUGCGGGGCUUAACCCCGUGAUGGGAAGGAAACUGGGAAGCUGGAGUAUCGGAGAGGAAAGUGGAAUUCCUAGUGUAGCGGUGAAAUGCGUAGAGAUUAGGAAGAACACCGGUGGCGAAGGCGACUUUCUGGACGAAAACUGACGCUGAGGCGCGAAAGCGUGGGGAGCAAACAGGAUUAGAUACCCUGGUAGUCCACGCCGUAAACGAUGGAUACUAGGUGUAGGAGGUAUCGACCCCUCCUGUGCCGGAGUUAACGCAAUAAGUAUCCCGUCCUGGGAA